GUUGGCUACGGGGACAUCUACCCCACUACUCCGCUUGGAAAAGUGAUUGGUACCGUUUGUUGCAUAUGCGGCGUACUGGUAAUCGCAUUGCCCAUUCCUAUCAUCGUUAACAAU
rfam:Aedes albopictus isolate Foshan contig9396, whole genome shotgun sequence.